rnacentral:rRNA from 1 species
CAGCACCUCAAGCGGUCAGGAUGAUUAUUGGGCCUAAAGCAUCCGUAGCCGGCUCUGUAAGUUUUCGGUUAAAUCUGUACGCUCAACGUACAGGCUGCCGGGAAUACUGCAGAGCUAGGGAGUGGGAGAGGUAGACGGUACUCGGUAGGAAGGGGUAAAAUCCUUUGAUCUAUUGAUGACCACCUGUGGCGAAGGCGGUCUACCAGAACACGUCCGACGGUGAGGGAUGAAAGCUGGGGGAGCAAACCGGAUUAGAUACCCGAGUAGUCC